rnacentral:rRNA from 1 species
UACGUAGGGGGCUAGCGUUGUUCGGAAUUACUGGGCGUAAAGCGCACGUAGGCGGUUAUUUAAGUCAGGGGUGAAAUCCCGGGGCUCAACCCCGGAACUGCCUUUGAUACUGGGUAUCUCGAGUCCGAGAGAGGUGAGUGGAAUUCCGAGUGUAGAGGUGAAAUUCGUAGAUAUUCGGAGGAACACCAGUGGCGAAGGCGGCUCACUGGCUCGGUACUGACGCUGAGGUGCGAAAGCGUGGGGAGCAAACAGG